GGCAACCACCGAAGCAGUAAUUAAAGAUGAAGAGCUAAAAGAGAGAAGAAUAGCAGCAACCUGGUCUCUUUUCACGGAACACAGUAAGCCACCAAAGAGGUAACUGAAGUCAUUUGCGUAUUCGUUUGUCUUGUUAAUAUCUGUAGUGCUUAGGAUAGUCUGACAAGGGUGAUGGGAGACAGUGCUUGGUCUUUUCUAAGUGAAGGAGGCUGCAAAUGAACCAGUCGCAAACAUAGAAAAUGUCACACAAAGCCAUACCCUCUGUUCCAAAAGGCAGGGUGAAUGAGCAGCCUUGGUGAGUUCUGAGAACUCAGCAAGCCUGAAUGGAUCUGAGAAACUGUAUUCUUGGCACACCAAUUUAUUUUUGCCUUAAGGCACCCAUUUAUAAUAACUUUGAAUGUGAAAUCGGCUUCAGUUUUGAAACUAAAGGUUUUCUUUGAAACUUGUUGAUACUACAAUAAUAAUCAUAGUAUUUUUAAGUAAUUGUAAUUAUUGUAACUAUUAAGCUCUCAAAAGCAAGUUGAAGCCCCUCUAGUAUUCUCUGUGUAGCUGAGACUGGCCUGAAACUUCUGGCCGUCUUGCUUCUGCCUCCUAAGUGCUGGGAUGACAGGCAUACACCACCGUGCCCAGCCUUGAAACUCCUUUUUUCAAAAAA
rnacentral:lncRNA from 7 species